GUGGGGAAUAUUGGACAAUGGGCGCAAGCCUGAUCCAGCCAUGCCGCGUGAGUGAUGAAGGCCUUAGGGUUGUAAAGCUCUUUUGUCCGGGAAGAUAAUGACUGUACCGGAAGAAUAAGCCCCGGCUAACUUCGUGCCAGCAGCCGCGGUAAUACGAAGGGGGCUAGCGUUGUUCGGAAUCACUGGGCGUAAAGCGCACGUAGGCGGACCAUUAAGUCAGGGGUGAAAGCCUGGAGCUCAACUCCAGAACUGCCUUUGAUACUGAUGGUCUCGAGUAUGGAAGAGGUUGGUGGAACUGCGAGUGUAGAGGUGAAAUUCGUAGAUAUUCGCAAGAACACCGGUGGCGAAGGCGGCCAACUGGUCCAUUACUGACGCUGAGGUGCGAAAGCGUGGGGAGCAAACAGGAUUAGAUACCCCUGUAGUCC
rnacentral:rRNA from 1 species